CAAUAGCGUAUAUUAAAGUUGUUGACGGUUAAAAAGCUCGUAGUUGGAUUUCUGUCUAGGGGUGGCCGGGUACCCACCUAUGUGAAGUAUCUGGUUCAGUCUGGGCAUCCUCUUGGGGAUCGUUCCUGUGCUUGAUUGCAUGGGGCGGAAUUCAAGACUUUUACUUUGAGGAAAUUAGAGUGUUCACGGCAAGCUUUCGCUUUGAAUACAUUAGCAUGGAAUAAUGAUAUAGGGCAUAAGUUCUAUUUUGUUGGUUUCUAGAACAUAUGCAAUGAUUAAUAGGGAUAAUUGGGGGCACUCGUAUUAACGCGUCAGAGGUGGAAUUCUUAGAUUGCGUUACGACGAACUACUGCGAAAGCAUUUGUCCAAGGAUGUUUUCAUUGAUCAAGAACGAAAGUAUGGGGAUCGAAGACGAUC
rnacentral:rRNA from 1 species